AGUUCAAAAUAUGGACAUUGUAAAUCUUCUUGUAAAAGUGUCUAUAAAUAUGGAGUGCUCCUAGUUGAUUAUUAAUUCGAUUAUAUAUACAUAUUUCUACUCUUUUAAUUAAGAUGGCUGGGUUGAUGAAGAAGCUCUCUGCUAUUUUCUUUAACCUUGCUCUUCUUUUCGUGGUUCUCUCCUUAAUACAAGUGGCAGCAGCAAGGGUACCCAAUUGGUCAUUGGAGCAUCAUCAUCGUCAUGGCAGAGCACUGUACCAAGAUUACCCAGAUGACGGCCAUUACCAUCAUCAACCCGGACAAGGACAGGUUCCUUGAUUACAGUUGUGGACAGUUGGAACUUUGGAUGAUUAUGUUACAGAUAUCAAUUGAUGGAUAAAGCUCAAAAGGCGGAAGGGUCAUAAGAUCUUAUCUUAUUAAGAUGCUAUAAGUGUGAUAUAAAGAUUUUACGUUGUUUUUGUUUAUCUUUUUUGUACUUUAUUUUGUUAGUUGUUCUUUUUUUCUCCGCAUAUUUUGAUGUGUUGAAAUUUAUAUUCUUUAAAUAAAAAAUAAUGAAUACUGUAUUUUA